rnacentral:rRNA from 1 species
UACGGAGGGUGCAAGCGUUAUCCGGAUUCACUGGGUUUAAAGGGUGCGUAGGUGGGCAGGUAAGUCAGUGGUGAAAUUUCGGAGCUUAACUCCGAAACUGCAUUUGAUACUGCGGUGCUUGAGGACUGGAGAGGAGACUGGAAUUUACGGUGUAGCAGUGAAAUGCGUAGAGAUCGUAAGGAAGACCAGUGGCGAAGGCGGGUCUCUGGACAGUUCCUGACACUGAGGCACGAAGGCCAGGGGAGCAAACGGG